rnacentral:miRNA from 1 species
CUGUAAUAUAAAUUUAAUUUAUU